rnacentral:rRNA from 1 species
AUGUCACCAGAUUCCUUCUCGAUUGUAACCGUGUCAUGCUUUCAUAUGCAUCUCUCUGAACAACUUUUGAAACGAGACUCCUUUUUCAACCGAAGAUAUGAUAACACUACUAGUAUCAGCUGGUUUGGCGUGUAUCUCCAUAUAUGUACGCCCUUUUGCUCUGGGCCUGGGCAUCCUUGGCAUUCUGGCUGCUUCUCUGCAGAAGUACUGGCUCUUGGCAAAGGCUGCACUUUUUCUCUGGGCUUGGGGCUGAUUCUCUGCAGAAGUAUUUUAGGCAUCCUUGGCGUACAGGCUGCUUCUCUGCAAAAGUAUUGGCUUGUUCAAAGAGCUCCUGGGCAAAGGCUACUGUAUCAUACAUUUGUCAUGGCACCGGAUUAA